CCUGGCGGGGCCGCGCCAGGUGAGCGCGGGUGGCUCCGCGCCAGGUGAGCCCUGGCGGGGCCGCGCCAGGUGAGCGCGGGCGGGGCCGCGGCAACCGCUGCGCAGGUACGUCCAGCAGCAGAGGAGGGAUGACGGGACCGAGGUGCGGCGCGGAUUAAAAACGUUCAUGAGGGAAAAAAAUGAAACAAAAUUGCAUAAUCGGUCAUUACAGAGCUGUGCAGCGCUUGUAAAAGUCCAUACAGAACAAAAUAGGUUGGUGCGCACGUUCACGUCGUGUUCAUAACCGCCGUUUUUGACACGGGUUCCUGCUCCUGUGGAUUUGUUGCCUGGUGGCUGAAAGCCACUGUCAGAUACUUAGCAGCAGCAAAGGGUCUGUUCUUGCUAGAACAGAAACUCCAUUUCCAUCUGUGGUAUGUUUUGUAAAAAUGUUUCAUGUGUAUACACGUAGGUAUGCAGUAGUUCCGAGCCCCUGUUGGCUUAGGUGUUUUGGCCCAGCUUUCAUGAAAUGAUGCAUACUCCUCCUUUUUACUUGCCAGCUGGGUUUUUCAGAGCUGAAGAUAAUGAACAUACCUACUCUUCUAAGUUUAUUUUAAAUUCCAGAAAUAUGUCUGGUAGCAUCAAGAGAUACUGGGAUUGGUGACACCAAAGGAGACGAAACUUCAGCUCUUGAUGUGGAACUCUUAAAAGAGGAAGCUGCGCUACUAAUGCAGCCAGUGCUUGACCACAGGAGACCUUACCUCUGACAGAAGACAAAUGAUGUCUUAUUUAAACUUUAUGAAAUGCAAACUCAAAUCAAAUCCUUUCAAGUUCCUUCUUUGCAAGGCAAUAAAUAAUAAAUUAGUGAUUGACUUUUUUUAGAGCUGUUACUUGAAUAACUGGGAAGAAGGAAAGCUGAGGUUCAAACUACGAUAUGUACAAGAUGUGUUCUUUCCCUUCAGAUUAUUUUAGCUUCAUUUACUAUGAAGCCCACAGAUCAGCUUAAAAUAAAAUAAAGCAAAACCUUU